rnacentral:rRNA from 1 species
AUGAGCCAAUGCACCUAUCUAGCGGCCGUGGCCACGUCUCCUUUUUUGCGUCUAUUAACAGUGGGAGAAAGGGAUAAGCCCCGAGCGAUCCGUUUGGCUCCACUCCUCUCUCUUUCCCUUUUCCUCUGCCUCGUGCUCUCCUUUCCUCGCCGCCGCCACCCCAACCUAGGCGGCUCCUCUCCUCGUCGAACCAGCAGCCUCCUCUCCAUCUUCACGCGCAGCCUCCUUCCCACCGGGCUUCGCCUCUUCGGGCGGCGGGACGCAGUGGCUCUAUUGAUGGCAGAUGGGGCGACAACGGCGACGCUCCUCGUCGCCCAUGGCGGUCGGCGGCGCUCUGGCCGUGGAGGCCUGCUCCUCAUGCUCCUCCUCUACCCGCUCCACCUCUCCGCGGCCGCGCCCGAGUCCGAGUGCGCCAAGUUCGCCGGCCCGCGCGCGCACCUGCGCUGGCUCCGCUUCAUCCGGCCCGUGCCGCGCUGCGUUCGCCGCGUCGCCUCCUCCUGCGCUACGCCGGCUCCGCCGCCCCCGACCACGCCCCUGCGCAUGCCGCUGCAGCACCCCCGCGCGAUCGUCGGCUCGCUCCGGCCGGCUCCGCCUCUGCCCGGGGCCGGGUGCUCCUCUCCUCGCGCGCCCUCGCGGUCGCAAGAGGCGGAUAUGUACGGAGGAUCCACGAGCUUGGUGCCAUCCAUCCCGUCCGGCGACGCUCACCCCCUCUUCUCCAACGUGUCUGUGAUCUAUUCACUUGCGUCUUCACUGCCUCAAGUGCGCAGAAAUAUUAUUGUGCAGAGGUGGCUGCAGCUAUGCACAUCUGUUUUUGAGGCUGCAGAUGCGACCACCAGUUGUUUGUAUAAAUGCUCAAGGAGGACUGCUCUGGAGAGGACAACACGUGUGUUUGAAAGAGAGGGAUGGAAAAGAGGGGGCUGGAGUAAGAGAAGAGGAAGGAGUGGAGCCACAUGUUAUUUCUUUGUCAUCGACGUCAUCCCACCAUUAUAG